ensembl:misc_RNA Metazoa_SRP Metazoan signal recognition particle RNA
GCCAGGCAUGGUGGCGCGUGCCUGCAGUCCCAGCUACUCGGGAGUAGCUGGAGGCUGAGGCUGGAGGAUCUCUUGAGCCCAGGAGUUCUGGGCUGUAGUGCGCUAUGCCGAUCGGGUGUCCGCACUAAGUUUGGCAUCAAUACGGUGAACUCCCAGGAGCAGGGGACCACCGGGUUGCCCAAGGAGGGGUGAAUCGGCCCAGGUCAUAAAUGGAGCAGGUCAAAACUCCUGUGCUGAUCAGCAGUGGGAUCGCACCUAUGAAUAGCCACUGCACUCCAGCCUGGGCAAUAUAGCCAGACCGGGUCUCUU